GGGGGAUGCAAUUGUUGGCGGUGGAGUGGAAGAUGAAUUACUUCAACCUCAGUUCAGUAUUGGGUUGAAAGGUGUGUCUGAGGAUGACAUUCAAAAGGUAGAGGAGCUGAUCAUGAGCACUCUGAAAAAUUUAGCGGCAGAAGGGUUUGAUUCUGAAGCUGUAGAAGCAUCUAUGAACACUAUUGAGUUUUCCCUCAGAGAGAAUAAUACAGGGUCAUUCCCCCGAGGCCUAUCUCUGAUGCUUCGAUCUAUUGUAAGAGACUCUCUUCUGUCAUUACGUGCAAAAUCGUAUUCUUCUGCUUCAGUUUCAUCUUAUUUUGAUUUUUUUUUGUAGGGAAAAUGGAUAUAUGACAAGGAUCCUUUUGAACCGUUGAAAUAUGAAAAGCCCUUACAGUCUUUGAAAGCCAGAAUAGCUGCAGAAGGCUCUAAGGCUGUCUUUUGUCCAUUAAUAGAGAAAUUCAUCCUAAAUAACCCUCAUUGUGUUACAGUUGAAAUGCAGGUAUGUAGGCUCAUGAUGAAUUUAAGAAUAAACAUCUCGGUUUAGUUUGUGUGCUUAUUAGAAGGUUAUGUUUCUCAGCCCGAUCCUGAGAAAGCAUCUCAAGAGGAAGCAGCUGAACGAGAAAUCCUUGAGAAGGUGAAAUCAAGUAUGACGCAAGAGGAUCUUGCAGAGCUUGCUCGUGCUACUCAGGAGCUGCGUUUGAAGCAGGAAACACCAGACCCACCAGAGGCUUUGAAAUGCGUUCCCAGUCUUUCUCUUGAUGACAUCCCCAAGAAACCUAUACAAGUUCCGACGGAGGUAAAAUAAAGUUGUUGAUUCCAACCUUAGUACCUGAAGAUAUGAUUGUACAUACAAGUUUAUAAUGUGUUUCUAAGCAAUGAGAAGAAAGCCGAUUACACAUUGUACAUAGUGCACAACUUUUUGUCACGUUCUUCGAGUUGAUGUUAUAAGUACUUAUAGUUCUUUUCUCAUGCUUAUGCAUUCCUGUUACCUAGGAUUUGAUUCUGACUAAGGUUAUUGACAUGCUAUCACAUUUUUUGGGGCUGUAGAUUGCAGAAGUCAAUGGAGUGAAAGUUUUGCAGCAUGAUCUUUUUACGAAUGAUGUUCUGUACUCAGAGGUUGUAUUUGAUUUGCGCCAUUUGAAGCAAGAUCUUCUUCCACUGAUACCAUUAUUUUGGUAAGAAAUUUUUCAGUUGAUGUUAUGAUUUGGAUAGAAGAGUUCAAUUCCUAGUUUUUUCCAGUUUGCAUUGUAAUCUCAAAAUCAGAUUGUAUUCUUUUUUAACUCGUAGUUAAUUCUAAAUGGUGUUUCACAGUCAAUCAUUGCUCGAAAUGGGAACAAAAGACCUUGACUUUGUUCAGCUGAACCAAUUAAUUGGAAGAAAAACCGGGGGUAUAUCAAUUUAUCCUUUCACAUCAUCUGUGAGAGGGAAAACAGAACCAUGCAAUCAUGUCAUUGUCCGUGGUAAAGCGAUGGGAGGACGUGUGGAGGAUCUAUUUAACCUGGUAUUUUUACUAUGUCUAUCGUUGUUCACUGCUAUUGUCUAGUUUUUUUUUUUUUUAAUUUUCAUUCAAGAAGCAGGUUUAUUCUUUAUAUCUGGUGCAUAUAUCUGGUGCAUAAUGAAUGUCUCAAUGAUGUCUGCUUACAGUUGGAUACCAGGUAAAUAUAAGGAUAGGUACAGGACCCUUGUGCUACAGUCUUAAGAUACACGAAUUGUAGUAAGAAAUAAAUUUAGAAAGUGCCAGAAACCCAUAAAAUAGUUCUAAAUAACCUUUUAUGAUAUAAAGUCAUUCUUUUUAUAGAAUCAAUUGCUUGGAUUUUACCUUGGAGGAUGACUAAAAUUUAACGUCGGUCAUAGUGUUCCAGUUGAAUGCUUGUUAUUAUUGUUUGCCCUUUUUUCAGAAUGGUCUCCAGGCCUCUGAAAACCAUUGGACUGGUCUAUAGUAUGAACAAUUUCUUUUAUUUUGGUGGACCUGGGGACCACACCCCUGGGCGCCUGGGCAGAAAGAUUUAGGGCGUUAGGGGCAAUCCUGUGCUGAAUGAACUGGUCCUCCAUGACUCUCCUACGCCUGUCUGAGGUAUCGAUGGGAUAUGAAGCAGAACUGGACAAAAUUGGUGCCAUGGUGGUGCUAAGAGAUGGCAAUUUUUUGUAUUGUAUAGAGAAGGACCUAUUGAUUGACCAAAGACACAAACCAAUCUACCAGUAUCUAAGAUAAGUAGUGGUCUAUCGUUACAGAACAUGGGAACAUGUGUUGACUUGCCUAUAUUUAGUAUUUCCCACGUAGCUUGUCGGUCAAACCAAUGAUUCUCUUCUUAAAGUCACAGAGAGAGUCCUUUUUUUUCUGGUCCUCCACUGAGAAUCGUUGUUGCAGUUCAUCGCCAUUUGUUCCAUUUACUAUGAAGGGCAAGAUUGCACAGAAUAAUAGAAGCAUCUAGGUCACAGAAAAUUUCUUUUCUCAAGUUGUUCUGGCACCUAGAGAACAUGGGGGAAGAAGAAUUUUUGUAAGGGCCAGAGGAAAGACAUUAAGUGAGUGUUAGUUGCAGUGAGGGUGCCAGGAGGAUUAUUUAUUUUAAUCGUUGUAGACGAAGGGGGCAUUGUCGCACUGUGUACAUUGCAGCAGGCAGACGACAGGAGAAUCAUAAAAGAUUUGGGUGAGACUAUGAUGCCGGAGAUACCAUGCAUGUGGCUGAGAAAUUAGCAAAAACGUCACCUUAAUUCAACAUUGGUCAACUAAAUAAAUGCCUUCUUUGAAUAGUCACUGUAGGCUUAUGUUCGUAGUUAGGUGCCAUACUUUCAAAACCAGGCUAAAAUCGUAGGAAGCAUGGAAACUUUCUCCAACUAAGGUGGUUGUUUAAGAUGAGUGAAGGGUGAACCAGAAUAGGGAACUAUUAGCGUCAACCAGAAAUAAAAGAUGGUUGAUAGCAAAUUAAAUGAGUAGCCCAGAAUAGGAUUGACUAUGAAUGUAGCUGACGAUCUUGAGGCAAACAGCCCACCAAUUAUAGUGAUCCCACAGCCUAAAGGAUGCUCGGAAUCAAACGAGGACGAACUCACUCUCAGCUUCAGGCCUUGGAUCCCUGAUUUUUCAUCGAAGGGCCUUUAUGACCCUCACGGAGAAAGAGCUAUGGGCGAAAUUUUCUUUUGAAUUUUCUUUUUUUGACAUCAUGUUCAGGAUCCUGAUUAUAGGAGUUACAUGAGGCAUUUAAAGUAUCUCUUUUCAUUCUUGCUUGGAAAUGCCAACCGUUCUUUGUGUCAGCCCAAAUACCCAUGUUGAGAACUUUUCAUGUGUCUAUCUUUCCGUGAGUGUCAACUAAUUCUUUUUACUGUAAAAGAUCCGUCUUUUCUCUUUACUCUAAAAGCCGUGGGCUCAGGUUAAAAAUGAUUUGUUGAAAAGCUUCACUUUUAGGACCUUCUCAAAGAUACUCUUAUACCUUUUUCUAUCAUUAUUGUGGACAGCCGGGGCAGUUUCUGUCUACUAUGGGUCUGGAAAACUAUUGUCAGGAUAGACAUCAGGCGGCUGUUGGAUGAUAAAGAAUAUUAUCUAUGAUAUGAAGUGGCUCCCGCUCUCCAAUAUGCCUAGGAUUUGGUUGGCCUUGGUCUAGCAAGGGUUAUAUUUUCUGAUAAUUCUUGAGGACAUCUGAUGCUGGUGAUUUGGCCCAUUUUACUGUGUUGUUUUACUCUAUCCUGUUCAAUUUAGGUCAAUUAAAGAUAUAGUUAACUGUGUUGACUUGAUUCGUCAUGUUAUGCUCUUUGCAUUUUGAGUGGCAACUACCACUCUACUGUUACCAUUUUCUUAAAAUGUCAGUACUGUUUGGCUUUUGCAGAUCAGAUGUGUCCUACAGGAUGUUCAGUUCACAGACCAACAGCGUUUCAAGCAGUUUGUUUCCCAAAGUAAAGCCAGAAUGGAGGUAACCUCAGACAUACUUUCGGUAGACCGAAGCUUUCCCAACUUCUAUUAUAUCUUACAGGAACUGUUUUUUUUGAUUUGUAGAGCCGUCUGAGAGGCAGCGGUCAUGCAAUUGCAGCUGCAAGGAUGGAUGCAAAAUUGAAUGCUGCCGGAUGGAUAUCUGAGCAGUUUGGUGGACUUAGGUUAGCUUAUAUCUUUGCUUGAGUAUUAUGAUCAUGUAUGUGCAUGUUUGAUGGUGCUAAUUUUUCUUUGAUUGUAGUGCUGUAACCUGGAGAAAAUAAAUUCGUCCGCAGCUGUUGUUGUCAGAGAAAAACUUGUUUAAAUAUUUAAUUUUGGUCCUCUACCAAGAGAGCAUUUUGAACUACAUUAGAUGUUGACAUAUGCCAAGAUAUAGGCUGUUGUACUUUCAUGUUGAAGAUCCAUCUAUAUUUACUUUUGUCUAUCAAUUUAUUAUUUUUCUAUCGCUCUUUGUAGAAGUGGCUAUACUUACUUCCUGAAGAGGUAGACUGACUUGGAAAGUAUAACUCACAAAGUACGAUGCAUUCACUGAUAUAUUAAUGAAUCUAAAAUCUUCUUAUCUUUGGCGACAGCUUAUCGUAGUGAUGCAACUGGUCUGUUGGACAUACUGCACGCUUAAAUCAUUUUACCUUAGAGAUUACACAUUUGAGAAGAUGAUUAGAUGGUGACAUGAAAAAUAUUUUCUUGGCAUGUGGCUGUCCUUGUUCCAUGGGUAAUAUUCCAUCUGCAUGCGUGCACCAUGAAGCUGUUCUAUAGUAGAAAGGAUGCUGAUGAUGUUCUCCCUCUUACUUGUCCAGCUAUUUAGAGUUCUUGCAAGACCUUGAGAAGAGGGUUGAUAAAGAAUGGUCCGAAAUUUCUUCUUCACUGGAGGCGAUCCGUACUUCUCUUCUCUCCAGGGAAGGUUGCAUAGUCAACAUGACAGCUGAUGGGAAGAUACUUACAGAAUCAAGCAAAUAUCUUGCCGAGUUUAUUAACGCCAUUCCAAGCUCAUCAUCUUCUGGGGCUGCCUCCUGGAGUUCUAUUCUUUCACCCAUUAAUGAGGCCAUCGUCGUUCCCACUCAGGUCUGGUUCCAUUUAUUUUGGAAUCUCAGCGCUCUCAUAGCAUGCUUAAGAUUUAUAAGGCGUGACAUGUUUGCUUCUUGCACUUUCAGGUUAAUUACGUUGGAAAAGCUGCCAACAUCUAUGAGGCUGGAUACCAGCUCCACGGGAGUUCAUAUGUCAUUUCAAAGUACAUUGGAAACACCUGGUUGUGGGACCGUGUUCGAGUGAGUGGGGGAGCAUAUGGUGGCUUUUGUGAUUUUGACACUCAUUCUGGUAUGUGAUUGCUAUUUUUCCUUGCACCCAGAUGAAUUUCUCAUCUACUUUACUCAAUUUACUGGGUCAUCCUCCCCUUAUUUCCCAUUUAUGUUGCUUUCUGCAGGAGUUUUCUCAUAUCUGUCCUACCGUGAUCCCAACUUGUUAAAGACACUCGAUGUGUAUGAUGCAACUGCCAAUUUUCUCCGUGAGCUAGAGUUGGACAACGAUACGCUCACCAAGGCGAUCAUUGGGACAAUUGGAGAUGUGGAUUCAUAUCAGCUGCCUGAUGCUAAGGGUUACAGCAGGUGAGAGUUUCUUCUUUACCCACCUGAAGGAGGUCCUUAGUUAUCAUCUUUCUGGCUGCAAAGUUUCAACCUUUUUUUAAACGAGAGGAGAAAGCAAAUGACAACAGCAGUCGUUCUGUCUGCUGGUGACGUUGUAGGCUGCCUUAUAUGAUUCAGAUGAACGGAAAAGUAAUGGGUGAUAAUCGCCAAAAAAAACUGAGCUGAACCACGUGAUGAAUCACACGAGAGGAUCUCUCAACAGCCCAUCUAUGUGUGGAUGUGAUCCUCGGUUUUAUAGGCCGUAAAUCUCACCUAAUAAGUUUAUACUUUUAUAUGCCCAAUGUUGUGGAAUUUGUGUUAUUAUCUUCUCAAGUUUUUGUAUUCCAUGGAUCAAAUGCACAGCUUGUCAGAUGUUGAUGUCAUUUUGCUUUGAAUUUUCAGUCUGCUGAGGCACUUGCUGGGCAUCACAGAGGAGGAGAGGCAGAUAAGGCGUGAAGAAAUCUUGUCAACCAGGUUAGUCAGCCUCAAGCCAAGGAAUGGCGUUGUCUUGGCAAUGGGUGUCUAAUUGGGUAUCUCCCCUUGCAGCCUGAAGAACUUCAGGGAGUUUGCAGAUGCCAUUGAGGUGGUGAAAGCUAAAGGAGUGGUGGUAGCCGUAGCAUCUGCUGACGAUGUGGCCAAGGCAAAUGAGGAGAAGGGCGGGUUCUUUGAAGUCAAGAAGGUUCUGUGAGUGCAAGCAUGGCUUCUGUGGUGUUUCUCUCACUUGUUCUCUCUCUGGCGGCAGAACUGCAGCAGCUUACUUGACAGAGGACUGGAUUAACAAGGUUGAUAGCUGUGAAGGUGUGUAGAUCACUGCCUCUUCUGUUGAGCAUUCAUGAGAUUAAAAAAGUAAUUAAUCCAACUCAAUGAACGCUAGUCUGCCUCUGGUGAGGCUCUACUUGGAAAAAAUAUUCUGAGAGAGUAGGUUUAAAUUUUGACUUCAGAAUCUCAUAUUCAAACCAUUAAUGAAUGCUCAGCAUUGACCCAUUCCUCUCCUCGGCCUUCAACUCAUCGGGGUUAUAAUUUAGCAAGCUGAUUGCAGCGAAGUUGGAGUGAUUACUAGCCAUUCUUUAAGGCAUUAAUGUGGCCUGUAGACUUCAUCUUGCUUUUGUUGUUUCCUCUCCUUUUUGUUAUAUGCAGGACUUCAAUCGGACAUGGAGAGCAUCACUUCUGCAGACAAGAUCAGAGAUUUUAAUGUGAAACACCGGGUGUAAAAUGGCAAUUGUUGAGGCAAUCUUUCAGCUCCUACAUUGUGAGAAUCCUAUUGGAGGCGAUCUUGGAUGUUGAUGAUCUGCAAGGGUGUGUAAACUCCUUUUACUCAGCUAUACAAAUAUUUUCAAACGUUGGUGUCAUCUUAUAAGGUUGCUUGAUGUGAAUUGGAGGCCCUUAUGAGGAUCUAAGAGUGGAAGUAUACCUGCAAAAAGUAUGGUUUCUCUCACCUCUCUUUUUCCUUGUCUUCCUACUGUGCCCCUCUCAGGCCUACUAAGUGGUCUAGAGAGACCAAAAGGUAGAGUGAGCAUAUCUCUGAAGCUUUUAACUUUGUGUGGCCUUGGACGUUUGCCCAUUGCCCAAACAGCCAUCUCCCUCACCAGGGUAUUUUUGUGGAAGUUUGGCACUCAAGGACAGAAGUAUUCUAAUGAAGGACACUGACAAGAAGAGGGUUUAACCUAUAAAUCUCCUUUGACCACUGCUGGGAUUUGGUGUUUAAGUUGUUAUCCCAAGCGAGCAGCUUAAAGGCAGCAAGGUUAAUUGGCCGGCCUUUUUAAGCUAUCAAGUUAGACUUUUCUGACCAUGCAACCUGCUAAGGGGCUAAUGGGUUGACUCUUAUAUCAGCCUAGAAUAUCUUUGUUUAAGCUAUAUAAUGGUCCACCAUUUUUUUCAGGGUUUAUAAAAUGCCUUUUAGAUGAGUUUUCAGCCAAUGAGUACAAAACUUGCUCAUCCUGUGGUGCAACAUCUUUUGAAAAAUUCUCUAAUGCUCCUGAUGUGAGUUUAAAGUUCUUCCUAUCCACAAGGCAUCCUUGUAUAAGGCAUUUAGAUAUCAAGAGUAGACAAUGAUGUCAUAAAUUUCAGCUAAAUUGCUAGGGAAAGGAUAAUACAACCAAUGUUGAUACAUUGAAAAGUAGACAUUGAUCAAGGGAAAACCAAACUAGAAUAAAAUUUGUGCCUAUCUAGCAUCACAAAAGCAAUUGUCAACCCUCAUAUAUAGUUUGUUUAUCCACUAGUCUACCAUGACGACCCUUAAUGGUUAGGAUUAGGCAUAGGAUCACUGAUGACUUAAACAUCAUUAGAAAACCGAUUCAGUCCCCUCUAUUGGUUCACUUACUAGCCUCUUAGGGACCCAACAGAAAGGUGUGCUGAUAGUUUAUAGUAAAUUGAUGUUUUAGAUAUAAUUAAGUAAUUGUAGUUUCAUGAUUGAAAGGAUAUUUGAGAAAUGAUUGGUUACUGUGAAUGGGAUAACAUGAAUUAAGAGAUGCUUUAAGCUAUUGAAGAAUGACCAGUAGGAAAUAAAAUCACUUGGGUAAUAAUUUAUAUAGAUUAGCCCCUUUUCACAAAACCUUGUUCAAUGGUAUCACGUAAAAAGAAAAUUUUUCUUUGGGAGAAGAAGCUACUAUCAAUUUUGUCCUUAUUAAAUGAUAAUUUAUGCCUCUUAUAUUAGCAAAUCUAAAAUUUGAAGAACUAUUUGAAUUGAAAUAUAGCACAAUAGUAGUGUAGGGCUUAUUGUGCCAAUGUAGCGAUCAUAUGACUUUGUAUAGCAAAAACUUUACUACUACUGGGAGAAAACUUAGAAAAAAUUAAUUAAAAUUUUAUGCAAUGUAAAGCUUAAUAGAUGUGGGAACAUUACAAUAUUCAAUUUUAAUUUAGAGUAUUUAUUGGUCGCUAGGUACUAAAUCAUAAUAAUAUUUUUUAAAGAAAUAAGUAUUGAAUGGUAGAUGGGUUUCAUUUGCUAUAAUUUUUUUUACAAGAGAAUUCAAAUCCAACAUAAAUCCUCCCAUUAAAAAGAUAUGAUGUUUUGCCACCUUUCAAGUUGACAUAAAUACUUUAUUAUUGAAAUAUUUAAUAUAAAAUAUGAAGAUUUGGCUCAAAAUUUGGGAAGCCUAUAUGAAGGAUUUAUUAAUCAAAAUAUUUCAUGUAAAAAAGUGUUCUUGUUUUGUGGAAACUUCUAACCCAUUCAUAGAAAGAUACUUCAUUGAAAAGUUAUUUAGGAAUUUUACUAAGCAACAAAAGGAUAUUUAGAGUAUGAUAGCACUCAACCAUUAGUAUAAUUUUUAUUAAAAGAUCAUGUUUAAGCACAUGAUUGUACACACCAUUACCAGUUCCAAUAAGGCCUUGGGUGGAUUAAUUCAUUAGCUUCAUUUUGAGAUUGUUACUUAUGUGUUUUUUGUCUAAGAAGAUAUGUUUUCUUGCUUGUGAGAUAAAAACAAUGCACUACAAGUAACUAAUUUAUUUUCUUGAAAAGUAGUUAAUUUUAAUGCAUUAAAAAAUUAAAUUUUAUAUAAUUGAGAUAUAAUUUUUUUCCACUUCAAUCACUCUUUGGAAGAGAUUUAAUUCUUUACAUCAAAUUGAGAAACAUGACACUCGAAAUGAGAUGACCAAACAAAAGUUGUAGAUCAUGUGCUAGAAAAGUUUACUUGUUACAUUUGAAGAUAUACACCAAAAUUUGGAAAAUUUUUCUAUGCUCAGAAUUUUUUUCAUAGAAUCAUAUAAUAAACUGCUAAAAAAAUUAACCUUAAUUUUCAAGUGUUUUACAUCUUUCUUCCCAAACAUUGUAGCAUCUUUGAGGUGUCCAUCUAUUCAAAUACGAAUAGAAAAUAAUUGAGGUUGAAAAUAUGAGAUAUCAUAUCAAAAUAAAGUUUGAGUAGAAUCUUUCAUAUGCUAGAAAAAUAAUGGAGUAGUAGGCAAGGAAAAACAAAAAAAAAUUAAGUAGGUAAUUUAUUCACAAUAGUUUUAUAGACAAAAUUUUCAAGUAAAAAAAGUUGGAAACUGAAGAAAUCCACAUGACAUUAAUGGCAAGGAUUGUCAACUAUUUACUACUACUAUAAAUAAAAAAAAUUUAAAGUUUAAAUCUAGUUUUUCUCUUGGCUACUAUAUAGAGGCAUGUACAUUCUUUUUGAGAUGGGAAUGAUUGAUGUAGAAAAUCAGUUAAGCAAAAUAAGAAAGACUAAAGAGUUAUGACUAUGGCAAUUAAAACAAUCAGAAACCUUAGCUCAGAAAGGAUUUAGGAUUUAGGGCCUAUAUAAUAGGUUGAAAAUAUAAAUUUAAUUUAGAGCUCUAAUCAUCCUUUGAAGGUAAUUUAGGAGAACAAUAACUAAUUUUGAUGUUUUUUAAGGGCCUAAUUCAUUGUAUGACUAGGAAAGUUAGCAAUAAUAUCAAUUUUACUCUCUUGAUGCCUUGAUGCUUUUUUCCCAUCUUGUGGAUUUCAAUAGCCUUUAUAGAUUCAAGGAAACCAUUGUGAUCCUAGUAUAUUCAAUGGGUGUCUAAAUCUUUGCUUGUAGACUCAAAUAUCUGGUAUUAUAUUAUGCCUCAUACAUUAAAAGUUUGAUUUUCUUUCUUCAUGACAUAUGAUUUACCAUUUAUCACAAUAUUUAUAUAAAUUCUUACUUAGUAAAAUGACCAUGUGCAUUGCGUCUUCCUCAAUCUUUGUUAUUUUACCAAAAUAACUUUAUUUGUAAUAUAAUUUUUAUAUAAUGUUACUUACAUGACACCUCUUCAUACAAAUUACAUUCAAAAUGAGGAGCUUUCACUAAGCUUUGGCGAAAAAAUUUAUCCUCAAUCUCAUCUUACAUGAAUAUCUAACCCUCUUGAACAAAGUUUAUUAUUGGGCUGUCAAAUGACAAGUUUGGGACUUAGUUGUCUUAUGUUAGGUUGCUUGACAAGCUUUUUGAAGAGCAGUAAAUUAUUCUUGAUGUUGCAUUUUACCAACUAUUCUACAUAAUGACUUGAAAACUCAAACCUUGGCUAGGUGCAUCAUCACAAGUAAUAUUGUAAAGAGUGAUGAAUUGGCUCCUUUGUUGGGUACAAUCAAAGAGGUGAAUAAAUCAUGUGUCAACUUUGAGAGUCAACCUUGCUCUAUUAGAUCUUUGUGAUACUACAAAAUCCCUUUCAUUAUGAUCUAUGUACCUUGGAGAUGCUCAUUGUGAUCCAUUAGACCCAAGGGUUAUCUACAUAUUUAGUUAUAGACCUAAUAUCUAAUACUACAGUUCAUUUCAUAGAUUACCAUUUAUUAAAAUUUUAAUAUCAUCCUUUUAUAUUUAAAUGAUGUCAUUUAUGUAUAUCAUCAUCCUUAAAUUUUUUUCUAAAAUUUCUAAAUUAUUGAUUUUGAAACUUUCAAAACAUUAUUUGUAUGAUCAUUUUAUACAAGUUUUCCUCACAAUCAGGAGUGUUUAUAUAGCUUUGGUGAAAAAAGUUCUCCCCAAUCCAAUAUUAUGUGAGACAUGAUUUCUAUUUUAUAUGAAGUAGUUUGUUAUUUGGCUGUUAAAUCUCACUUGGGACUUUGUAAACUUAUGUCAUGAUACUAAAAAACUAUUUUGAAGAGUAGUAAAUUAUCUGUGAGGUGAUAUUUUACCAAGUUUCCUACUAAAUAACAUCACUAUUAGGUUCAUCAGCAUGAGUAAUAUUAUAAUUGAAAACAAGUCAGCUUUGUUGCAUGUCACAACUUGAAAGGUACAUAAAUCCCACAUCAACUUUGAGAGUUAACCUUUCCUUACUAAAUAAUGUGACUUGUUCAUUGAAAUAUCUUUUUAAAUUAAAGGGUGCUUAAUGGAGAUCUUAAGCCACUCCACCACCAAGGCACCAAAGGUGAAGCCCAUUUCGACCCAUGUUCAAGGAGGCUCAGAAAAGGAGGACUAAGGGAUAGGCUUGAAUAAGGCCUAUUCCUAUGGGGAAGGGUUGUGCCUUCAUGAGAGGGUGUUGCACCAAGCAGCCUCCCCUCUCAUAAUGGACCUUUAGAAGCACCCCUUAGACAACCACUCAUAACUACUCAAACAUUACUUGGAAAUUCGAUCAAGGGGUCACAAGAUGCUCAUCAAGUUAUUGAUCAAGGGUUAAGAAAAGGUCAAGAUGUAGAGGACAACAUGCAAUUAAUCCUAGAGGAGUUAAGUCAACCAAGGAUGUAAAUAAAGAGAUGUCAAACACCUUCUCAAUAUAUAUUUCUCUUUUUUAUAACCACCCCUAAGAAUUUUUUAUAAAAGAGGUAACUCGUAGAUUCUAAGAAAAAAAAGUUUCUAAAUGAAGUAAUUUGAAGUUCUAUUGUUAAUAAUUUACCUUUGAGUCAAAGGGUGAGGGUCAACACCACCACAUUUAGUCUACCCAUUCCACCCCUAUCAUCUUACCACAUCAUCAUUCAACUUAUUUUUAAAAUCACUAAGACUCGUGGUCAACAAUUCAACUCAUGAGAGAUCUCUUCACUCAUCUUGCAAGGUACACGACUUCAAUUGCCUAAGAGUAAUAAUGGGAUAACUAUUCUCACAUAUUUGGUGAUUCUACCUUAGAAUAUAUUUAAUCCAACUCAAUUAAACAUAGAUAAACUUAGGUCAAAUGAUGACUAAUGAUCUCAUAAUCUCAAGAUGUGAGAAUUCAAUCUAUUUUUAAAUUAGUUUCUAAAAAUUCAAGGAAAGACUUGAAAAUUUAGUCUUAAAAUUUUUUUUAUUCUUCUAAAUCAUAAUUUAGGUUUUUUCACAAAUACCUUGGAUUAGGCCUCUAUACUCCUUGUCAAUUGGACAAUGUUGUUAUGAUCCUUAUAGAUUCAAAGGUUGUCUAAAUCUUUAAUUAUAGGCUCAAAGAUUUAGUAUUAUAUUAUGUCUCAUAGAUUCAAAGUUUCAUUUUUAUUUCAUGGCAUGAUGUGAAAUUUAUCACAAUAUUCAAUUAAUUUUUAAAUAUCAAAAUAACUUCUUACAUAUAUUUCUUCAUAUUCAUUUUUAUUUUAUCAAAAGGAUACUAAAAUAAAAUUUGGGUUUGCAACAUUUAAGACUUUAUCAUGACAUCAUAUUUGUCUAAUGCUACUUAAUAUCUUGUCUCUUCAAAAAAGUUAUACUCAAAAUGAGGAGUGUUUUUAAAUCUUUUGGGGAAAAAAAAUCUCCUUAAACUCAUCUUCCAUGCCAUAUGACUUUGCCUCUCUUGGAAAUAACAUAUCAUUGGCUUUUCAAAUAAUUUCCCACUCAAGAUUAAUUAGACUUAUGUCAUUAUCCUAUAGAAAUAUUUUGAAGAGUAGAAAAUUGUUACUAAACUAGCAUUUUGUUGACUUUCCUACCUAGCAUGAUGGUCAUUCAAUGACUAAUCUAUGUGGAUUAACCCAAUCACUACACCAGACAACAAUGAAUCAGCUCCCUUUGGGGGCUAGAACUGGAGAGGUGAACAAAUCACAUGCUGACUUUGAGCAUCUACCCUAGUUUGGUAGAUGAUGAAGCCUUUGUAUAUUCAAAUAACUUCUCAUAGAUUCAAGGGGCCCACCGUGAUCCUUGUAGACUUAAGGGGCAUCAUUAUUAUAUUUAUGGACCCAAAGGUUCUCCAAAUCUUCAGUUGUAGAUUGAAAGUUGUUGUAGACUAUCAUUCAUCACAAUAUUUGUAUUAACUUUGUACAUUUUGACUUACAUCAUUUUUUCCAAAUUAGAAAAAAUGAUUCUAAGUUAGAUCAUUUUUAUUUAAUGCUACUUAAUGUGGCAGCUCUUAGUGAAAGUCAAACUCCAAAUGAGACGUGUGUAAGGGUUUUGAGAAAAAACUUCCCCCUCGUUCCAUCUGCACGAUGUGUGACGUUGAAAAAGUCAUAUGAUUGGGCAGUUAAAUAACAACCCACUUGGGAUUUUAGUUGACUUUUGUGAGGAUCCAUGACAAAUAUUUUGAGCAGUAGGAAGUUACGGACGUGGCAGCCUAUCGACUUUCCUACUUAAAACCACGUGACCGUUGAAUUACUGACUGGGUCGAGCUACCAUGACUUAUAUGCUGACGUUAGGCUGACUUUGGUAGUCAACUCUGUCAUGGAGGACGACGAGGAGCAUAUUCCGGCGAAGAAGGGGAGGAAGCUGAGAUGAGACGAAGAACCAACAUGGAAUUGAUACCGAAGGUCACCGCAAAAGUGAUUCAUCUCCAUAGAAGCGACUCCUCAGAGCGCAGCUCCUAUCCUAGAGGUAGCACGAUGGCGGCGGGUCAACGGCGAGCGGUGGGACGACGGCGGCCGCGGUUCUUGGUAUUUUCUUCUUUCGUUUCUUCACUUCUUCUCGGAGGAAUCUGCGCUGUGGGCCACCGGAGUUGGAGAUGGAGAUGGAGAUGGGGUUGGGAUUUCGUAGCUGUUUUCCAGGAUCCUUCGCAGCUAUUUUGAAAGGGUAAAAAAAUUGUUUGGUCAAUGCAGCGCGCCAUUUUACCGACGACUACUGCAAUCGGCGAGGGAGUCAACUACCUUGCGGCACACGGCAGGAGAGAUGAACAAAUCGUGCGCUGACUUUGAAAGUCGGCCCAGCUCUGCUCCCCGCUGUCUGGCGGCGCGCUGGAGCCAAACAGUGGGACGCGAUAAAGAGGACUGAUAGAGAGCCAGGGAGGGGGGGGGGGGGGGGGGCUAAGGAGCUGGUAUAGUUUCGGCAACGAAGGUCACUGUAAAAGUGAUUAUCUCCAUAGAAGCAACUCCUCAGAGCACAGCUCCUGCCUUGCCGCUCGCAUGGAUCGAGUGGACGAUGGCGGCGGGUCAGCGGCGAGCUGUGGGACGGCGGCGGUUCCUGGUACACAUUUCCCACACUAGUAACGAUAGGAUCAUGCUGUGGGUUCGUUGUCAUGCAGUCCGUAGUUGUUUCUAUAGCUUGAGGUUGGAUCAGUAUAGUUUUUUUUUUUUACUUACAGAGCUUGAAAUCAUCAAAAAAAGACUAGAAGCUUCAAUUUGAUCAGUAUAAAAUCAUUCCCACUUAUGGGUAUUGGUGUUUAUCUAGAUCUUUACUGCAGAUAUGAUCAUAGCAGACAACAUUCAUGAUCCUGGCUAUAUAAAUGAUGUGACACUCACUAAUUAGUCACUCUAGUCUUUUUCUGAUAGCCACUAAUGAGGUCUGACCUCAGAGUAAAGAAUAUAUGACAAAUAUUUAAAUUAAUCCAACAUGGAGCCCAAAAGCGUGGCUAAAGAAACUGAUAAAAUCAAUGAAGAUGAUCUAAAGUAGGAAAUAACGGAGAAAAUCAAUAUAUGAAUUUCCUUCUUGCCAUUGAAAGUGAGGUAAUAUUUUUGGACGCCGUAGUAUACUGCUCCUUUCACUAACCCCUACUUUUAUUUUCUUUUCUUGAGAAGGUGCAGAUGAAAGAAAUAGCAUCCAUGAGAAGCUGGGGUUUAAAAAGAUAUCUGAGGAAGUAAUAGAUGAAUGCAAGUCAACUGCAGUUCUGUAUAAACACUUGAAAACAGGCACUGAAAUUGUGUCAUUAGCAAAUGAUGAUGAGAACAAGGUCUUCGGCAUUGUUUUCCGGACUCCGCCGUAAGUAGUGGAACAAUUCUUUUCUUUUCUUUUGUUCCUGAAUGUCCACUAUGGUGCAAGUUUAGGAUAGGUCUGUAUUCCACAUCAAUCUUUUUUUAUGUGAUCAGUAUACCCAAAAAGUACAUGCAUUUGAACUUUAAUUGAGCACAAAUUGAAUGAUCAUUUCAGCUGAAUGUACAUAUAUCUCUGUGUUUUUUUAUUCUCUGUUCAUUGCAACUUAGCUCAAUUGAACAGCGAUGUUUUGGGUAAAACAAGUACGAUAUUGGUGUGGAAAUAGUUUCAAGCCUGAUAAAGUAGUAAAUGGUCCUGACAGUAGAAGCCCUUGGAUCAUUUCUCAUCUAGGUACAUAUUCUCAUGGGCUCUACAGAAGCUACUCCAAAAAUUACUGAUCUAAUGCCACGGCAUAGCCUACUUCUUUUUGAAGUGGAAUCCCAGCUCUAAGUUUGCAGUGAUAAUGAAGUUCCAAGGGAAGCGCUUGAAGAAUGCAGGCCUUUGGACUAUUUUGAAUGUCUGGGGCUUUCAGAUAUUCAGAGGACAGAGCUGUUCCAUAGAAAGAGUGCUCUCUUUCUAUUGAAGAAUGCAGAGAGAGUUAGAGAUGACCCUUCGUUGUAAUGACAGAAAGCCUCCAGGACUUUUGGUUUGUUGGUGACUAGCAUAGCAGACCUGAGGUCUAUUGUGAGCAUCCUGAAAAAUAAAAAUCUGCAUAUUUCUCUUUAAAUAAAAAAACUUUACAUAAAAAAACUUUCUGAGGAAAAAUAGNNNNNNNNNNNNNNNNNNNNNNNNNNNNNNNNNNNNNNNNNNNNNNNNNNNNNNNNNNNNNNNNNNNNNNNNNNNNNNNNNNNNNNNNNNNNNNNNNNNNNNNNNNNNNNNNNNNNNNNNNNNNNNNNNNNNNNNNNNNNNNNNNNNNNNNNNNNNNNNNNNNNNNNNNNNNNNNNNNNNNNNNNNNNNNNNNNNNNNNNNNNNNNNNNNNNNNNNNNNNNNNNNNNNNNNNNNNNNNNNNNNNNNNNNNNNNNNNNNNNNNNNNNNNNNNNNNNNNNNNNNNNNNNNNNNNNNNNNNNNNNNNNNNNNNNNNNNNNNNNNNNNNNNNNNNNNNNNNNNNNNNNNNNNNNNNNNNNNNNNNNNNNNNNNNNNNNNNNNNNNNNNNNNNNNNNNNNNNNNNNNNNNNNNNNNNNNNNNNNNNNNNNNNNNNNNNNNNNNNNNNNNNNNNNNNNNNNNNNNNNNNNNNNNNNNNNNNNNNNNNNNNNNNNNNNNNNNNNNNNNNNNNNNNNNNNNNNNNNNNNNNNNNNNNNNNNNNNNNNNNNNNNNNNNNNNNNNNNNNNNNNNNNNNNNNNNNNNNNNNNNNNNNNNNNNNNNNNNNNNNNNNNNNNNNNNNNNNNNNNNNNNNNNNNNNNNNNNNNNNNNNNNNNNNNNNNACAAUUUGGUUGAUGUGUAUCUUGAUGCUGUCUUCUUUCCUAAAUGCGUCGAGGACUUUCAAGUAUUUCAACAGGAGGGAUGGCAUUAUGAGCUUAAUGAUCCCUCCGAGGAGAUAUCCUUUAAAGGUGUUAUAUAGGCAUUACGUCACAAUAUUAUUGCCCCUUGUAUCAUAUUGAAGGGUGUCCUGUGGAUGAAAAUGCAAAAUACCCGAGUGAUGAUUCUAGUAUAUUUAUAUUUUUUAAAAGUUGGCUAAUUUUAAUUUCAGGUGUGGUUUUUAGUGAAAUGAAAGGGCUUUAUUCAGAGCCUGAUAAUAUACUUGACAGAGUUUGUCAGCAGGCAAGCUUACUUGAAACCCUUUGAGCAAUUGACAUUAAUACUGCUUUCAUGGAUUUGGUUAAAUAGGAACGUCAUUGGUGGGAAAUUCCUUCACUGUAUUUGUUGCAAAUGACUUAAUUUUUUAUGUACAGAACGACGGUUUCUCUUGGCUUAGUAUCCAGAAAACUAGUGAAAAGGUUCUGGGCUUUGAUGCAGAUUCCUAGAGCAUUGAACUAUUAUUUAUCAAUGAAUUUAUUUUUACAAAUUUGUUCCUAUGUACAUCAACUUUUUUUCAUCUGAGCCUCACACUUUCUCUGUGGAUUUUUGGAUAUGACCAAAUUUUCUGUCUUUUCGGAGUAUGCUAGUUGCUUCCCUAUCGUCUCUUUCAUGUGGUUUAUACUGGCCUUCCAUUCUAGAUUAUUCUAAAUUCAAAAUAAUAGGCUUCUAUGCAUGCUCAAGAAAAUAUUUUUCCAUCUUUGUCACUUGUAACUUUAUCGAUCAUCUUUCUGUUUUUUCUUUCUUUCUUUCCUGGGCUUUUUCUUUGUUGGUGUCAUCUAUAAUAAUGUGGAAAAAUUCAAUCCACGGCUGUGCAUUUUUGAAAAGUUUCUCUCUAAAUUUUUCUUUUCUUUAAUUCCUGUAGGCUCUCUUUCCUGAUCAUAUAUAUGGUGUUGACAGUGGUGGUGAUCCCAAAGUUAUUCCCAAACUGACUUUCGAAGAAUUCAAGGUGUGCUUUUUGCAAACUUUUCAGCUUAAUAUCUUGUGUUUUCAGAUACGGAUUAUUUCAUUUUUCUAGAUAGGUCAAUCCUAAGUCUUAACUUUAUGGGCGUCAUUUAACAGGCUUGUACAUAAAGAUAAUAGGGUAUCUGUGUGUUUCACCACCUAAAAGCCCCGCACCUCAUUAAGAUCAUAUUGGCAUACUCUCCCAAAAAAGAAAGAGCAUACCCCAUUGAAGACGAGAGUGAGGUGCUUAUUGAAAGAGCCUACUGAUUGACAAUAAGGUUUCUAGAGGUUUUGUGCAAAAUAAUUACCUGGGGGUGGCUUGAUUUCCUGCAAAAUGCAUAGCUAGGUUGGUGUAUCCCUGGAGUUGGAUACAGUUUGAUAUGUAGUAGUGGCGGAACAAUUACAUGGUGAGAAAUUGGUGCUUUAUUUAGUCUUCCCAUCAAUACUUAAUUUUUUUUUCACAAGUUCCCUUUAUUUUUUUAAUGUUCUUUGGGUUUUUCCGAACUUGAUUUGGGUGGUCAAUUAUGCAAAAAUAUGUUCUUAACUAUCUUGACUCAUGGACCACGUUGAUGACAUUGCACUGGGUUUAGACUCACCAUUGCUUGUAUGCCUCAUGAGGAAUCGAAAGUUUUCUCUGCAACAGUUAAACCACAAAAAUAUUGGUAGGAGUUCCCAAUGGGGAGGAUGCCUAUUUUGCAUUAGCUUAUGUUACUUUGCAGAAUUGGUCUCCUAAAUCAAGAUUAAUUCCCAGUCUGGGGUCAUUUCAUUUUAAUUCGCUUCCAGGACAGUUGAGAGCCAGUAGCUCGGUCAAUCUCUAAACUCUCUUAAUCUUGCUUCAAAUAUUUUUCUCUUCUCAUCAGGUGAUGUUUGUCUGAGCCUGCUGCACUAGUGUAUUGUAAAAUAUUGUUUUUUGAUUGUUUGGGAAUUAAUUAAAUUCUUGACAACUAGAGCUAAUGAUCACAAGGAGCAGAAUUUUUGUUUCAAGGGUUUAUUGUUCACUCCUAGGAAAUGUGGCAGAAUAUUUACUGAUAUAAUUGAUUUUAUUCAGUUAUCGAUAAUUUACAUUUCAAAAUAGGAAAAGGACUUCUGAUCGAUCAGUUUAAAUUAUUUCAUUGUUUGUUUAUCUUACUGACUAGAUCUGAUCUGAAGCAAAUUUUCUGUUACCUAAAAUAUGAUGUUCAAAUUCAGUUCUCAGAUUACGCUCUCUGAAAGUUUUUGUUGUCGUGUAGGACUUUUAUCAUAAGUAUUACCACCCAAGCAAUGCAAAGAUAUGGUUCUAUGGAGAUGACGAUCCGAACGAACGGUUGUGCAUUUUGAGUGGUAUGACCUAGGGUUAUUUUAUUCACAUAAUCGAAAGCUUUCCUCUGAUUGUCUUUAUGUUAGAAAUGAUCUUUCCAUUGUUUGACGUCAGUUCUCUAAGAUUGUUCACACCUAAAUAAACAUUUAAAGUCACUUUUUAUUGAUGGCACUCUGAGUAUUACUCCACUUAAUUUGAGGGCACCAUCUGACAUAGCCGACGAGAAAACUCUUGAUUCUACUUGGAACAACCUUAAAAGCUUCAAGGAAUGAAAGUCGUUCUAUUGGGUGCAAAAGUAGGGUCUGUGACAGCAUUAGAGAGGAAAUCUGUGUGAGAUAGGCUGCACAAGGAAUAUAAAAUCCUCUCUUAAUUUCUCUCAGUAAUUUAUGUGGCAAGUGCAAGAUAUUCCUUUAAAUGAAACAUGUUGUUGAUAGAGAGAAAAAUAUUGAAUUAUAGGUAUCGAUUUAUUUAUUUUCAAAUUCUGAAAACGAAAAUCGAAUCUUGAGCCAUGCUGUGUCGUAUAAAACCAGGAUUAAGUUGUUUUCCUGUUCCCCAUGUGCUAUCAUCCUGAUUUUUGUGUCUGCAAUAUUCUUAUGUUCCUAGGAAAUUUCUAAUGAUUAUAAAAUGUUGACUAUAGCAUUUCUAAUGCACAUAGGGACAAUUAACUCCACUUAUCAAACUCGGAUAUUCUUUUGAGUUGUUUGUUUCUUUGUAAAUAAAUUUUGGUCUUUGGUCUUCAGUUUGUACCAGUCCUUGUCAGGGAGCUAUGCUCCAUAUUCCACGAAACAGAUCCCAUUUCAGUCCAUGCAAAACAUUGUUAUUUCCUCCGUGUUUUGAAAUAAUUACAUGCCUAUUAAUGCAAAGCGAUCACUUUUAUUAGUAAUUUACAUUGUAAAAACUUAUCUCAUGUAUCUUAGGAUAAUUAUUAUACUAUUAUUAUUUAUUUUGUUGAAUUUCAACGCCUUUGAUAUCAAUUUUAUAGUUUUCUCACGCCUGACCAUUUCAACUUUUUUGUUGACUGGACGAGGGUCUGCUCUUUUUCUGCCUGAUUUCUUUCUUUAAGUUUAUGCAUUUAAUGAUAUCCAUUUGUCGGAUGAUAAUAAACCAGCUUAAUACAUGCCGGAAUUCUGGGAUUGGAAUAUUUAGUUAUCGGAUUUAUCUCACUAGCAUUUAUUAUUUGAUGUAGAAUUUUUGGACAGUUAAUGACAGCUAUGAUAUGUUUUCUUCUAUCUUAUGUAGCCUAUCUUGAUCAGUAUGAUCAGAGCCCUGUUUCUAAUGAGUCAAGGAUUGAACCUCAGGAGCUCUUUUCAACGCCAGUAAGGGUAAUAGAGAAGUACCCUGUUGGUGAAGGUGAUGACACUGAAAAAAAACACAUGGUCUGCCGUAGCUGGUUGCUAUCUGCUCAGACAUUAGAUUUGGAAACUGGAUUCGCACUUUGGAUCUUGGAUCACCUUUUGCUGGGAACACCGGCUUCUCCACUUAAAAGGAUCUUGCUUGAAAGCAGGCUGGGAGAUGCCAUUAUUGGUGGUGGAGUGAGAGAUGAAUUAAUUCAACCUCAGUUCAGUGUUGGGUUGAAAGGUGUAUCUGGGGAUGACGUUCAUAAGGUAGAGGAGCUGAUCAUGAGCACUCUGAAAAAUUUAGCGGCAGAAGGGUUUGAUUCUGAAGCUGUAGAAGCAUCUAUGAACACUAUUGAGUUUUCCCUCAGAGAGAAUAAUACAGGGUCAUUCCCCCGGGGCCUAUCUUUGAUGCUUCGAUCUAUUGUAAGAGACUCUCUUCUGUCAUUACGUGCAAUACAUAUCGUACUCUUCUGCUUCAGAUUUCAUCUUAUUUUGAUUUUUUCUGUAGGAAAAAUGGAUAUAUGACAAGGAUCCUUUUGAACCGUUGAAAUAUGAAAGGCCCUUGAAGUCUUUGAAAGCCCGGAUAGCUGCCGAAGGCUCUAAGGCUGUCUUUUGUCCAUUAAUAGAGAAAUUCAUCCUAAAUAACCCUCAUUACGUUACAGUUGAAUUGCAGGUAUGUAUGCUGAAGAUUUUGAAUUUAAAAAUAAAUAUCUCAGUUUGGUUGAUGUGUUUACUUGAAGGUUUCUCUUCACAGCCUGAUCCUAAAAAAGAAUCUCAAGAUAAAGCUGCUGAACGGGAAAUACUUGAAAUGGUGAAAUCAAGUAUGACACCAGAGGAUCUUGCAGAGCUUGUACGUGCUACUAAGGAUCUGCGUUUGAGGCAGGAAACGCCAGACCCACCAGAGGCUUUGAAAUGUGUUCCCAGUCUUUCUCUUGAUGACAUCCCCAGGAAACCGGUACAAGUUCCGAUAGAGGUAAAGUAAAGUUGUCGAUUCAACCUUACUUAGUAGUUGAAGAUACGAUCGUAAAUACAAAUUUAUUCUUCGAUUACUGAGGAAAAAAGAUAACUUUGUUUAUACUAUGUUUCUAAGCGAGGACAAGUAAAUCCUAGUACUCGUAGUACAUAAUACAGCACUUGUUAUCAUGUUUUUGGGCUUGAUGUUAUGAGGUAAUCAUAGUCAUUUUCUUAUGCUGUCCCAUUCCUGUUAACUAGGACUGGAUUCUGACUUAAGUUGCCUGUAGAUUGCAGAAGUCAAUGGAGUGAAAGUUUUGCAGCAUGAUCUUUUUACGAAUGACAUUCUAUACUUGGGGGUUUUAUUUGAUUUCAAUGGUUUAAAUCAAGAUCUUCUUCCACUGAUACCAUUAUUUUGGUGAGAAAUGUUUCAGUUAAUUUUAUUAUUUGCUUAAAAGAGUUCAACUCCAAGUGUUUUCCGGUUUGCAUUGUACUCUGAAAAUCUAACUGUGUUCAUUUUUUGCUUGCAUUUAAUGCCUAAUGGCGUUUGACAGUAAAUCUUUGCUUGAAAUGGGAACAAGAGACCUUAACUUCGUUCAGCUGAACCAACUCAUUGGAAGAAAGACUGGGGGCAUAUCAAUUUACCCUUUCACACUAUCUGUGAGGGGGAAAUCAGAUUCAUGCAGCCAAAUCGUUGUCCAUGGUAAAGCAAUGAGGGAGAGGGUGGAGGAUCUAUUUAACCUGGUAUUUUUUACUCAUUAUUACUGUUCACUGUUAUUCUCUGUUUUUUUUCCUAAUUUCAUUCAAGAAUCAAGCUUGUUCUUUAUACAGUAGGGGAAUGAACUUCAUAUUUCUGGUGAGUAAUGAACGUCUCAAAGCACUCUGCUUACUGUUGAUUACCAGGUAAAGAUGAGGAUAGAUAUAGGAACCUUGUAUUAUAGUCUUAAGAUAAAUGAAUACUAUUAACGAAGAUUUAUUAGAAAAUGGUAGAAACCCAGAAAAUUGUUCUGAGUGAUCUUUUAUGAUCUAAAAUCAUUUCUCUUAUAGAAUGCCUCACUUUGUUAUCACUGUUUGACUCUUAUUCAGAAUGGUCUCUAGGAUCUCUUACACUUUUAAGUUUUUUCCUUUUUUAAAGGGGUGGAUUAGAUGAUGUCAGAAAAUAUUUCUAAACUAAUAUCCAACAGUGGAUUUAUGGAUGAACGAGGUGUAGAAGAAGCAAAUCUGGAAGAAAUGAGCAUCCAUAUCGUAAGGAGUGACAAGAUAUGAAAAUAGAGAAAAAAUCUCUCCACUGCACCUCAAGAGGAGGACAAACAGUAGAGAGGAACAUGUAUUCUUAUUUAAUAAAAUGGGGAAGAUAUAAGGAUAGACUUACAAGAAUAGAAACAAUGGAAGAUAAGGAGAGGAACCUCAUCUCAAGAAGAAAAUGGGGAGUACAUUAGACUGUCAAAUUGUAGCCGACCUAGGUCACGACCUCCCUCAAACUCACUAAACCCUAAGCCAAACUGUCCCUUAUAUAGGGGCUGACUUAAACAUAAAAAAGAUAAAGAUAUGUCCCAUUACAUAUUUUGAUAUUUCUAACAGAUGAGGAUGACCUUGUAUCUUUUAUUUAUUAAUGAUCUAUGGAAUCUACAACAGUAUACAACACAGAUGAUUUUAUUCUUUAUACAAUCUGUGUUAAUCUUAAAAAUGUCUCUAGUCCAUAGACCUCUGUUAUCCAUUCGACUUAUCUAGUAAAUAUGGUAAGAUGGCACAAUUUCAAAAAUAGAAAAAUUUGGUUAUGGCACUGUGGUGACUGGAAAUUUCCCUUUUCAAGUCGUUCUGGCACUUGGAAAACAUGGGAAAGAAGCAUUUCACCUUUCUUUAGAUUUUAAUGUAUGUUAAUAGUAGAAGUUAUUCUUACUAAUAAAAAUGAACAUAUGAUUGUAAGGAUGACCAGAGGAAAGACCACAAGUGGGUAUUAGAUGCAGUCAGGGUCUCAUGAGUAUUAGUAAUUUUAAUAAUGGUAAACGAGUUCGAGAUUGUCAGACUGUGCCCAUUGCCGAAAAAGAGGAGCGUUUCAAAAGAUUUGGGUGAGACUAUGAUGCGGGAUAUACCAUGCAUAUGAUUGGGAAAUCAGGAAAUGUCUAUUUAAUUGCAUAUUGGUCACCUAAAUAAAUGUCCUCUUUGAGUAGUCACAGUAGGUUUACGUUCAUAGUUAGGUACCUUGCUUUCAAAACCAGACUUAAAUGGUAAAAAGCAUGGAAACUUUCUUCCACAAAUGUGGUUGUUUAAGAUGUGUGAAGGACGAUCUAGAAUAGGGGAUUAUGGGGUAGGGCUAGAUGUAACUUAGAGACAAGUGUACCAGCAAUGAAAUUUUUUUUAAAGCAAAUUAAAGGAGUGGUCCAAAAUAGGAUUGAGUAUGAAUAUACCUUGAACCCGUGGAUGAAGACCUGUAGCUGACGAUUUAGAGGCAAGCAGCCCACCAAUUAUGCUCUCAAGGAGAUGUAGAGAUCCUCCAGAACCCAAAGGAUGCUAGGAAUCACAUGAGGACGAACUGAUUCUCAACUUCAUGCUUUGGAUCCCUGAUUUAUGACUGAUCGUCGUGGAAAAAGAGAUGGGAGCGAAAUUUUCAUUCAUAAAAUAUAUUUUUAAUAUCAAGUUCAUCAUCCUAAUUACAAGAGUCACGCGAGGUCAUUACAGGGCUCUCUUCAAUAUGGCCUGGAAAUGACAACUGUUCUCAUAAUUAAUUAUCGGAAAUCUCGGCCUUAAAAAUAGUGAAAAUAUUUGGGAUACACUCGGGUCCUUAAUCAACUCUUAAAACUCUAAAAAAACCUGAAGUAGUUGAAGAUAAACUUGAACCUAAUGAAUUGGCAAAACAAAUUUCUUAUUUUAUUGACGAAGUCAAGCCAUGUUCUUUCUUCAAGAGUAGACCAUGACUGGUCCGUGGUUUCACACCCUGAUAUUUCCAUGACACACGGUGUUAAAAAUUUUCUUGUGGUAUUCCUUUAUUUUGAAUAACUUAAUUGAGUUCUGAAGGGCGGGCUCGUUGAUUUCUAUUUUCAGGAAAUUUCUCGACUUUGAGUAGAGAACGUUUGGUGAUUUUUAGGCAUGUUUGCUGGUAGAACGGUGUUACAGGAUAGGGGAAUGAUCUAUGGGGUUUGAAGAUGGCAUUAAUAUUUUGUCACUAAUUUUGGAUGUUGGAUGUUCAUAUAUGUUGGUUAGCUUGUUUGGAAACUUUCUGAAGCACUAAAGGCUAAGUUCAUGAUGUGGAGAGUGGUUGAACUGAGGUUUCUUCUGUUGGGUUGUACAAGGAAAAUUCUGUCCACAUGAUUUCUAAAGUCUUAUCUUCGGGUGUUGAUGUCAUUGAUGAAAUUUAUAUCGUUAAAAAUUUAAUCACUUAAAUAUGACUGUUUCGACAAGAAUGAGUACUAGAUCUCCUAAAAGUGUAGAAAAGGCAAUAAAAAAUAUGUGCUGAGGUGAUCGUAGGCUUGUAGCUGUAGCACUUACUGGGACCUCAUAAGCAAAUGCCCAGUUAUGAAACUACUUUUCAAGAACGAAUUUUUGUGGUAAAUUUCAAUUAAAAUCGUCCUGCAAUAGUUUCGAGUCACAGAAGAAAUGGAGAACAUUAUUUGCCCUGAGAAAUCAAAAAACAGUAGGUACUCUUUUCAUGGCAUCGACACGUCAUAAAUUUACCUUAAGGACGUUUACCUAAUUUGGAAUUUCUAUAACAGCAAACGUAUUGGAUCAUCUUUUCCAGAUUGACGGGUAAAUUCAAAUAUCUGGAAGAAAUUUAUAAAAUGAUGCUUUCAUUCACAUGGUUAUGCGAAAAUCACCGACCCACAUCCUGCAAACAUCAAUAUAAAAUUUUACUUCGCCAUCCCAGAUGUCCAUGUUGAGACUUUUCAUGUGUCCAUCUUUCGAGGAGUGUCGAAUUAUUCUUUUUACUGUAAAAGAUCCGUCUUUUCUCUGUACUCUAAAAGCUGUAAUUCUCGGGUCCAAAACCAUUUGUUGAAAAGCUUCAAUUCUUAGUAACUUUUUUAUGAUAAUUUCAUACGGUUCUCUAUCAUUUGCGGACAAAUCAGGUAGGUUUCUGUCUACAGUGGGUCCGGAAACUAUUUUCAGCAUAGACAUCUCACGCUGGGGAAUGACAAAAAUUAUGAUCUGUCAUAUGUUAUCGAUCCCGCUCUCCAAUACAUUAUAUGUAGGAUUUGCUUGACCCUGGUCUAGUAAGAGAUAAAUUUUCCGAUGAUUCCUGAAGAUGUCUGAAGCUGGUGAUUUUGGGCCAUAUUCUACUGGACUCUGUUGCUUUACUCUAUCCUCUUCUGUUUAGGCCAAUUAGAGAUAUGGUUAACCAUGUUGACUUUUUUCAUCAUGUUGUGCUCUUCCCAUUUUGAAUGGAAGCUACCACUCUGGUGUUACCAUUUCCUUAAAAAUGUCAGUAUUGUUUGGAUCUUGCAGAUUAGGUGUGUCCUACUGGAAGUUCAGUUAACAGACCAGAAGCGUUUCGAGCAGUUUGUUUCCCAAAGUAAAGCCGAAAUGGAGGUAGCCCCUGAUAUCCUUUCAGUACUCGGAAGCUUUAUAAACUUCUAUCAAAUCUUACAGGGACUACUUUUUUGGAUUUGUAGAGACAACUGAAAGGCAGCGGUGAAGCAAUUGUCUCUGCAAGGAUAAAUGCAAAAUUGAAUGCUGCCGGAUGGAUAUCUGAGCAGUUUUGUGGAAUUAGGUUCGCUUGUUUCUUCGAUUGGGUUCUAAGCUCAAGUUUUUGCAUGAUGUUUAAUAGUGCUAGUUUCCCUUUCAUUAUAGUGCUAGUAACGGAGAGAAAAUAAAUUCUUCUGCUACUCUUGUUCUGAGAGAAAAACUUGUUAAAAUCUUUAAUGUUUCUCCUCUACCAGGAGAGCAUUUUGGACAACAUUGGAUGUUGGCAUAUGCCGAGAUAUAGGCCGCUUUUACUCUCAUGCUGAAGAUCUAUCUCGUAUUUUGUUUUAUUCAUCAAUUUAUUCUUUUGUAUUCCCUGUUUAUAAUUAAUGAGAAGCCUCAAGUAGUAACGGCUUGCGUUCUGCAGUGGUAGACUGACUUUGAAAGCAUAAAGUAUGAUGCAUUCACAGAUAUGUUAAUCUAUUGGAAAUAUUAUGAUGUUGGGCCACAGAUUAUUACAGUCAUAUAACUGUUCUGUUGGAGAUAGUGCAUGCUUGAAUCAUUUUAUCCUAGAGAUUAUAUAUUUGAGAAGAUCAUUAGUUUCUGACACGCCAAAAAUUGUCCUUGUUCAAUGGGUAAUGCCUUUCCCUCUUAUUUUUCCAGCUAUUUAGAGUUCUUACAAGACCUUGAGAAGAGGGUUGAUAAAGAAUGGUCCGAAAUUUCUUCUUCACUGGAGGCGAUCCGUGCUGCCCUUCUCUCCAGGGAAGGUUGCAUAGUCAACAUGACAGCUGAUGGGAAGGUGCUUGCAGAAUCAAGAAAAUAUCUUGCAGAGUUUGUGAACGCCAUUCCGAGCUCCUCAUCUCCUGGGGCUGCCUCCUGGAGUUCUGUUCUUUCACCCAUUAAUGAGGCCAUCGUCGUUCCCACUCAGGUCAGCUUCCAUUCAUUUGGAAAUCUUAGCUCCCGGGGCAAUAUUUAUGAGGUAUGAUAAGUUUUCCUCCUGCACUUUCAGGUUAAUUACGUUGGAAAAGCUGCCAAUAUCUAUGAGGCUGGUUAUCAGCUCCAUGGGAGUUCGCAGGUCAUUUCAAAGUACAUUGGAAACACCUGGUUGUGGGACCGAGUCAGAGUGAGUGGGGGUGCAUAUGGUGGGUUCUGUGAUUUCGACGCUCAUUCUGGUAUGUGACUGCUAUUUUCCCUUGCACCCAGAUGAAUUUCUCGUCUACUUUGCUCGAUUUACUGGGUCAUCUUCCCCUUAUUUUUCCAUUUAUUUUGUUUUGUGCAGGAGUUUUCUCAUAUCUGUCCUACCGGGAUCCAAACCUGUUGAAGACGCUUGAUGUGUACGACGCAACUGCUAAUUUUCUCCGUGAGCUCGAGCUGGACGACGACGCGCUCACCAAGGCGAUCAUCGCGGCCAUUGGAGAAGUGGAUUCGUAUGAGCUGCCUGAUGCUAAGGGUUAUAGCAGGUGGGUGUUCCUUCUCUGCACACCAGAUGGAAUGGAAGGCCGCAGCAUGGUAUGAACAGGAGGCUACCUCAUAUGAUUCAGAUGGAUGGAAAAUUAAUGGGUCAUGAUCGCCAAGAAACUGGGCUAAACCAGGUGAAAUAAAUGGGUCACAGGGGGUUCGAUCUCUCAGCAGCCCAUCUAUGCGUGGUUGUGAUCCCUCGGUUUCACAGACUGUAAAUCAUCUCACAUAGUAAAUCUACGCACUUGUCAGAUGAUGAUGAUGACGAUGAUGAUGAUGAUGAUAUUUCACUUUGGGUUUUCAGUCUGCUGUGGUACCUGCUGGGCAUCACGGAGGAGGAGAGGCAGACAAGGCGUGAAGAAAUCUUGUCAACCAGGUAUGCCAGUCUGAAGCCAGGAACUGGAUGACGAUGAUGAUGAUUAUGAUGAUGAUGAUGAUGAUGAUGAUGGUGAUGGUCAGCUGGUGUUUAACUGGGUAUCUCCCCUUGCAGCCUGAAGAACUUCAGGGAGUUUGCAGACGCCAUUGAGGCGGUGAAAGAUAAAGGAGUGGUGGUAGCCGUGGCGUCUGCUGACGAUGUGGCCAAGGUGAAUGAGGAGAAGGGCGGGUUCUUUGAAGUCAAGAAGGUUCUGUGAGAGCAAGCAUGGCUUGUGCGGUGUUUCUCUCACUUGUUUUCUCUCUGGCGGCGGAGCUGCGGCAGCCUGUUUGGGCGUUGACCACUGUCUCUGCUGCUCUUGGGCCCUUUGGAUUCAAGCAGUUCAUAUGGAUUCGUAUUUUGAAGAAUGGUAGAUUUUUUUUGGCGUGGUAUUUUAUCGACUUUCCUACGUGAUGAUCGGACGACUGGCUGGGCCGAUCAGCCCGAGUACGCCUGUAGUCGAGGACAGCUCAGCUCUCUGCGCCCACUUUGAGAGUCAACGCCGCCAUGCAGGGCGAUGAGGUCGGCGCGAGCCGACGUUGCGCUGCAGCGAAGCAGUGGGCGGCGGUUUGAUCAGUGUGUUCCGGCGAGGAGGGGAGGAAGGCGAUGCCAGCCGGAGAACCAGAGCGGGGCGAGAGGCGACGACUGAGCGCCGUCACGGGGCCAAAACCAGAGAGAUGGGCAACUCACGCGCCGACCUUGCGGGUCAACGCUGCAAUGAAGGCGAUGANNNNNNNNNNNNNNNNNNNNNNNNNNNNNNNNNNNNNNNNNNNNNNNNNNNNNNNNNNNNNNNNNNNNNNNNNNNNNNNNNNNNNNNNNNNNNNNNNNNNNNNNNNNNNNNNNNNNNNNNNNNNNNNNNNNNNNNNNNNNNNNNNNNNNNNNNNNNNNNNNNNNNNNNNNNNNNNNNNNNNNNNNNNNNNNNNNNNNNNNNNNNNNNNNNNNNNNNNNNNNNNNNNNNNNNNNNNNNNNNNNNNNNNNNNNNNNNNNNNNNNNNNNNNNNNNNNNNNNNNNNNNNNNNNNNNNNNNNNNNNNNNNNNNNNNNNNNNNNNNNNNNNNNNNNNNNNNNNNNNNNNNNNNNNNNNNNNNNNNNNNNNNNNNNNNNNNNNNNNNNNNNNNNNNNNNNNNNNNNNNNNNNNNNNNNNNNNNNNNNNNNNNNNNNNNNNNNNNNNNNNNNNNNNNGGACGAUGAGGUCAGCGCGAGCCGCGUCGUGCUGGAGCGAAACAGUGGGCGCCGACUGAGCCCCCCCCGGGGCCGGAACCAGAGAGGUGAGCAAAUCGUGCGGCGACCUUGACUUGAGAGCCAACGCUGCCAUGCAGGACGACGAGGUCAGCGCGAGCUGACGUCGUGCACGUGCUGGAGCGGAACAGUGGGCGCCGAGUGAGCUCCAUCGCGGGGCCAGAACCAGAUAGGUGAGCAAAUCGCGCGCCGACCUUGACUCGAGGGUCAAGCUGCCAUGCAGGAGAUGAGGUCAGCGCGAGCCGGCGUCGUGGUGGAGCGAAACAGUGGGCGGCGACUACUGCAAUGGCAGCCGGAGAACCGGAGCGGGGCCCGAAGUCCAUAAGCUCAUUGCAAAAGUGAUACCUGCCUAGUGGCAGCGAUUCCUCAGAGCACAGCUCCUGCCCUGCCGGUCGUAUGGAUAGAGCGGACGACGGCGGCGGGUCAGCGGCGAGCGGUGGGACGGCGGCGGCUCCUGGUAUUCUUCUUCUUUCUUUUCUCCUCCUCUUCUUCUACCCUUUACCUUCAACCUUCUGAAGGUGCAUCAGUGGACGAAGCUACACGUUUCUCACACUAGUAACGAUAGGAUCAUGCUGUGGGCUCUUCGUUGUGCAGUCCAUAGUUGUUUCUAUAGCUUGAGGUUGGAUCAAUAUUAGUUUUUUUUUUUACUACAGAGCUUGAAAUCACCAAACAAGGUCAUCAAUGGUAUGAAUAGAAGCUUCAAAUUGAUCGGAAUAAAAUCAUUUCCACAUAUGGGUAUUGGUGUUUAUGUAGACUUUUACUGCAGAUAUGAUCAGAGCAGACAACGUUCAUGAUUCUGGCUCCAUGAAUAUGUGAUGCCAGAUGAAGGUUGAAAAUAAUCUUGUGGGACCCUCAGAUUUUGUAUCCGAGUUCCACCUGAUCCCUUGGUUGAAAAUGGUGCACUGGUUCUUCUAUUUCACGGAUUUUUUUCCUUGUUUUUUUCUGUAAAGUUCUCCGGUUCAGCACACUCUUCAAUGUCCAGCAAACUGCCGUGACACUCACCAAUUAAUCACUCUAGUCUUCUGACAGCCAUUGAUGAGGCCUGACCUCAGAAUAAAGAAUAUCUGAAAAUAUUCAAGUAAAUCCAUCACAGAGCCCAAGCCCGGAAGUAUGGUUAAAAAAUGAUAUAAUCAAUGAAGAUGAUCCAAAGGGAAGGUGGUUAUGAAUAAGGUAGGAAAGAGUUCAAAUAAUCUCUCAAAACUGAUUUGCAAAUUUAGUUGCGGCGAAUAAUGGAGCAAAUCACUACGUAAAUUUCCUUCUGGCCAUAGUGCCCCUUUCAUUAACAGCUACUAUUAUUUUCUUUUCCUUAGCAGGUGAAGAUGAAGGAAAUAGUAUUGCUGAGAAGCUUGGGUUUAAAAAGAUUUCUGAGCAAGUGAUAAAUGAGUGCAAGUCAACUGCAGUUCUAUAUAAACACUUGAAAACAGGCGCUGAAAUUGUGUCAUUAAAAAAUGACGAUGAGAACAAGGUUUUUGGCAUUGUUUUCCGGACUCUGCCGUAAGUAUUAGAAUGCUAUUUUUCCUUGUCUAAAUUGAAAGUCAGUUAUGGCGUAAAUUUAGGAUAGGUUUGUAUUCUACAUCAAAUUCUUUGCUGUGAUCAAUGUACCUACCAAGUACAUGCAUCUGCAUUUUGAUUGAACGAAAAUGCAUCAUCAUUUUAGAUGAAUAUAAAUAUAUCGCUGUGUUAUUUUUUGCUCUGUUCUCUACAAUUUAUCUCUACUGAACCCAUCAAGUUUUGGGUAAAAUCUAUACCACAGCGAUGUGGAAAUGAUUUCCAGGCUGAUACAGUAGUAAAUGCUCCUGAUAACGUCCAGUCAACCAAAAACUGUGAAACCAUCCUCAGCAGUCACGAUCUGGCCUUCUACGAUGUAAAAGGGCCCACCAGUGAUGGGGAGUUUUAGGAACACCGCUGGAGUUUUUGGUGAUUGGUGAAAACAACUUCCAGACCAGUUGAGGUAAUCACCUGAGUUAGGAACAUUAUGUUUGCUUGGGUCUGUAGUGGGUUUGAUGUUAAUAGUUGCACAAAUGUGAGUGAGAAGCGAACCUGACUUCACACUUUUGAUUGAUAUUGGAUAUUUUAUGUCUGCGGAAAUGUGGAGAUGAGACUGAUGUCCAUUCUCAUAUCAAAUUUGGCACCGAUGAAUAUGUAAAAAUUUACAUCAGUGAAGAUUCAUCAGAUAAUGAAACAAAUAUGAAAUUCAUACGUAGCAGCACCAGUGGUUAUUGAUAGUACAUGACACUUUCCUUUUGUCUAACCAUGAAUGUGAGUGUUAUUGAAUGCUUAUUAACAUGGAGUCAACUUGUUUUUCAAAUUUCUAUAUGGCCAACAGGAGUGCGGAAGUUAUUUUUUUAUAAUUAAAUCAGAGUAUUGGUGGAGGGAACGCUAUGACAGGUAAGUUGUUCCUGCGAACUGUUUAGAGAUGAAAUUUUCACCAACACUAAAAAUUAAAAUAGUAUUGUAUAUACUGUCUCGAUAAAUAUGAAAUCACAAAUUUGAGACAAACCCAUGCAAGUGUAAUACAUGGGUUUCUAGUUAGCGCUCAUCCCUAUUAAUUUAUGGAGACUAUUGAAAUUUCUUCCGUCCAAAUCCAUUUUUUUCUAUUACAGAUUACAAGUAUUUCUCCUGAAACGGAGAGGCAAAUCAGCAAUGAGGGUCAGAAGCCUACCUCUCUGCUAAUCUAGUUGUUCUUGUCCAAUGUGGGCAUAACGAAUUUCUGGUGGUUAUUAUUACUAAUUUGUGAGAAAAAUUUUGUAGACAGCAGAAGGUAAGGAGCAGGAAGCUCUGCCUGAUUGAGUUUAAAAAGAUCAUUUUCCAUGACGUAAAUUCGUGGCAUGGAAAUGGGAAAGAGGAGACCUUCUUAUGCUCCACUUAGCUUACUUUCACUGUAAAUGUAAGCACCGGGCAAUAGAUAGCAUCAAAAGUGUUGGGCCCUUGUAAGUGUGUGAAGGCGCUGAUGUGGAGGCUUUCAAUGAGCGUCUUUCAAAAUGUGAUGGGCCAGCUUUCUCUAGGGAUACGAUUAUAAUUUUUUUCCUACGCUGAGGUGGUGGCCUUGGAUCAUUUACUAUCUAGGUACAUAUUCUCAUGGCAUCUACAGCAGCUACUCCAAAAAUCUACCCCUUUUUUGAGGAGUGCCACCCCCAUGUUUGGAAUUAUUAUGAAGUUUGAAUGGAAGCGCUUGAAGAAUUCAGGCCUUUGGACUAUGUUGAAUGUUUGGAGCUGUCAGAUAUUCAGGGGACAGUUUUUCAAUAGAAAGGGUACUCUCUUUUAUUUGAAGAAUGCAGAGAGAACUAGAGAGAACCCUUUGUACUUCGAGGAAAGGAAACUGAGGCAAAAUGACGAAUAAUUAGGAGUUCGGUUCUCAGUUGUACCGUUUCUAGUUGUUAGAUCGUUCCAUGGUUAGUUUGUUUCCUAGUUGUUAAGUAGUUUCCUUGAUUUGUGACCCCUGGUGCUUGUAUAUAACACUCAUCUCUGAUGUGAAUCCGAGAUGAGCUUUUCUCUGCAUAUCCUCCCAGACUUUUCACCACUGUUCACGACAAAAAUCUCCAUGAUCAUUGGUUUUUUGGAUGAGUAGCUAGCAGACCAGUUCGUGGCAUAGACUACGUUGGUUUUUUUCUGGGUCAUUUUGUGAGUAUCCUGAAAAUAAAAAUCUGCAUAUUUCUCUUUGCAUAAAAAAACAUUACAUAAAAUAACUUUCUUAGGAAAAAUAGNNNNNNNNNNNNNNNNNNNNNNNNNNNNNNNNNNNNNNNNNNNNNNNNNNNNNNNNNNNNNNNNNNNNNNNNNNNNNNNNNNNNNNNNNNNNNNNNNNNNNNNNNNNNNNNNNNNNNNNNNNNNNNNNNNNNNNNNNNNNNNNNNNNNNNNNNNNNNNNNNNNNNNNNNNNNNNNNNNNNNNNNNNNNNNNNNNNNNNNNNNNNNNNNNNNNNNNNNNNNNNNNNNNNNNNNNNNNNNNNNNNNNNNNNNNNNNNNNNNNNNNNNNNNNNNNNNNNNNNNNNNAAAAUUUGGUUGAUGUGUAUCUUGAUGCUGUCUUCUUUCCUAAAUGCGUCGAGGACUUUCAAGUAUUUCAACAGGAGGGAUGGCAUUAUGAGCUUAAUGAUCCCUCCGAGGAGAUAUCCUUUAAAGGUGUUAUAUAGGCAUUACGUCACAAUAUUAUUGCCCCUUGUAUCAUAUUGAAGGGUGUCCUGUGGAUGAAAAUGCAAAAUACCCGAGUGAUGAUUCUAGUAUAUUUAUAUUUUUUAAAAGUUGGCUAAUUUUAAUUUCAGGUGUGGUUUUUAGUGAAAUGAAAGGAGUUUAUUCACAGCCUGAUUUCAUACUCAGCAAAGUGUGUCAGCAGGCAAGUUUCCUUGAAACCCUCUGUGCGAAUGACCUUAAGACUGCUUCCUUGGAUUUGGUCAAAUAGAAAUGUCAUCGUUGCAAAAUUCCUCCUUUGUGAAUUGAUGUUUACUAUAUUUUACACCAGAAACUCUGAUUUCUUGCAAAAUACUUGAUUUUCUAUGCAUAAAAAUGGUGAUUUAUCGUGGUAUCCAGAUGUAGGCUAUUCUUACUGACAUGAUUGGAAGAAUCUAUUUUCCUUCCUAUUAGCAUUAUGCAUUGGGUCGUAAUAAUUAUGCAAAACGUGUUUAGCUAAUAGUAAUUUUAAUCAAUCGAAUGACAUAUAAGAGGCAUCUAGGCUAAUUAAAAAAAAUAAUAUACUGUAUUCACAAAGGUUUUAUGUAAGAAAUUAUUUCUUAAAUACCUAUGUGAGAAAGGAGAGAUUUAUUUCCCAUAAAUUUACCGUCCUCAUGAACCCAGUCUAUUAGGCGCGCACGGGAGUAAUAAAUUUCGUGGCAGACCACAUUGGAUGAUGGGAACGCCAAUCCAUUGACCUACUGUCUUAUGGUCUUCAACAAGGAACAUCUCAGGAAUUGGAGAGAUUAAAUGCUGAUCCCGAACUCAUCACCAAGGGAUUAUUUUUGACCUCCAAAUCACUACUUAUGCCAUCCUUUAUCCAUCAUCCGUUAUUUUUCUCAUUCUCAAAUUCAGCAGGCCCAGAACACAGGAAGUGGGUUCUGUUUUCAUUUUUUCCUUUUUCCAUUCUUAUAUUUCAUUUAUUGUUUUCCUUAUAUCUCUAUAUUUUUCUCUCCAAUACAUUUUGAGCUUUAUUUUAAGUGAAUACAGUUAUCCACAAUGUUCAGGCCUCAUUCUCCGAGACCCAACAUUUCUUUGUUUUUCCAUUGGCUUGGAGACUCCAAGCUGCAGUCACUUUAGUCUGAACGAGAGUAAGGGAAAGUUGAGCAAUAAAAUUUGUUAAAGAAAAGAAAUUCUGACCGGGGCAUGAAAAGAAAUCCUUCAUUAGUGCCACUAGCUGCUCCUUAAAUGUGACAUUAGGGGCUUUUGUAUUUUCAGGCUAAUGCUUUCACUUUUUCCCUUAUUUUUCUGACAAUGAGAGUGGUUAACUGAUUUAGAUAGUGAAAAAGGGAGGGAUUAUCCUAUGAAAAACAUAUUAUUUUUUAUCUUUUUUGCUUUUCCCGUUAUUAAAUACACUAUGAAGUAGGGUACAAGAUUGUUUAAUUUUUCACAGUUUUUUCUGAAUUGGCCUCUUACCUUGGACUAGCUGAUUCUGGUUUUCCAAUCUACAUAAAAGGCAAGGUUUGGGCUUUAAUCCCUUAUGUCAUGGAACUGUUAUUGAGAAAUGAAUUUAUUUCACAAAUUUCAUCCUUUGCACAUUAAAUUUUAUAUCUUCACCUCACUAGCUCUCCAUGGAUCCUGAUUCUGACCUAAUUUUCAGUCUUUUUGGAGUAUUUUAGUUACUUCCCUAUUGUACCCUCCAUGUGAUUUUGACUAGCCUUCUACUUUAUAUUAUUCUCAAUUCUGAAAAGUAGGUUUCUAAGCAUGUUCUAGAAAUGAUUUUCUUCCAUCUUUUUUACUUGAUGUGUUAGGAAGGAAACGUUAAUGAUUAUAUUUCUGUUUUUCUGAUUUCCUGGGCUUUUCAUUUCUUGAUGUCUUCUAUAAUGAUAUUUACAGAUUCAAUCCACGAAUCUGUUCUCUUCGUUAUGUUUCUCUCUAAAUUUUUCUUCUAAUUUUUAAUUCCCUGUAGGCUCUCUUUCCUGAUAAUACAUUUGGCGUUGAUAGUGCUGGUGAUCCUAAAGUUAUUCCCAAAUUGGCUUUCGAAGACUUCAAGGUGUGCUCUUUGCACCUUUUUCUGUUUAAUCUCUUCCAAAUGGGUUUUUCAGACAAUGAAUGAUCUCACAUUUCUAAAUGGGUUAAUCUUAGUCUUAACGUUAUGUGCAUCAUUUAUGAGGCUUCUACAUAAUGUUAAUAACCGUCUCUGUAUUUCAUCACCUAGAUUACAUUUGAGAUAAAUUAUUUUAUUUAAUGUUCCACGUAUAAUAUUAAGAUUCUGGUAAUUAGCGGCCUAAGGUUGUUAGAGAUUUCGGGAAAAUCUAUUUUUAGAGCCGGUUUAGUUUUCUGCAAAAUACAUAGCUAGGUUGGUUCAUCCCUAGGCCUGGAUACAGUUUGAUCUGUAGUAAUGUAGGAACAUUGUCAUGGUGAGAGGCUGAUACUUUAAUCAUGGCGUGUUGUCAGAUCCUUGUCUAUUCUGUUUCAUCUGGUAAUUGGUGAUGACCGUUCACAUAAAAUCUCAUCGCUACAAAUCUUACUGUUCCUUGUAUGGCCCAGGAAUAAUCCACAACCUUGGUAUAUAUUCCUCAAUGGAGCAUGCCAUUUUGGAUGUUCUCUGUUACAUUGAAAAAUUUUUACCCUUGAAUCAAGGUUGCUCUGACCAUGGGUCGUUUCGUUUUAAUUCACUUCCAGGAUAUCUAAGAGCCACUAACUUAGGCGAUCUCAAAAAUCUCAGGAUCAUGCUUCUAGUUUUUCUCUCCCCAUUACAUGUUGUUUGUUUGAUCCUGCUGAAUUAACCCUUCUACACGACAUUGUUGUUUGACAGUUUUCUGAUGACUUAAAUUCUUAGCAAUUAGAGCUACUGAUUACAGCUGAAGGAAUUUUCUUUCUUCCAAGACUUUAUCGUUCACUUAUUCGAAAUGUAGCCGUAUUAUCAGUAUUUUAAAGUUGAAACCAAAAAAUAUCUGCUGGCAGAGUAAUUUAAAACAUUCCAUGGUUUUAUUCUUGAAACUGAAGAGACUUGACCUGUAGCAACCUUCCAUACAUCUCAAAAAGGGAACUCAGAUUUAAUUUUCAGGUUUCAUGUCUGAUAUAUUUUGUUGUUGUCACGUAGGACUUCUAUCGAAAAUAUUACCACCCAAGCAAUGCAAAGAUAUGGUUCUAUGGAGACGAUGAUCCAAAUGAACGUUUGCGCAUCUUGAGUUGUACGUUCUACUGUUAAUUGAUUCAUACAAUCGAGUGGUUUAAUUAUUUUCUUUAUAUUAGACGAAAAAACUGAUCUUUCCUUUGUUUAACGUCAGUUCUUUAUGAUGGUUCACAGCCAGAUGCCUAAACAUAUUAAAUCAUUUUUUAUUGAUGGUAUUCUGAAUAUCUCUGCUCUGAAUUUGACGGUACCAUUUGACAUAAGACAAGAGGGAUUUCACUUGGAACAACCUUAAUUUUGAGGAAUCAAAAGUCGUUCUAUUGGGCACAAAAGUAGGGUCUGUUACAGCAUUAGAGGGGGGGAUCUGUGUGAGAAAGGCUGUACAAUGAAUAUAAAAUCCUCUCUUAAUUCUUUUCUGUAAUUAAUGGGGCGAGUGCAAAAUUUUUCUGUAAACGAUACAUGUUGUCGAUUAAGAGAAAAUAUUUAGUUGUACAUAACGAGUCACCUUUUCUCAAAUUCUGAAAAAGAAAAGCGGAUCAAGAGCACAUGCAGUGUCCUAAGAAAAGGAAUAGACAAACAUGUUGUCGAUUAACUUUAUGUGUCAGAAAUAGUUUUAAAUUUCUUGGAAAUAUUCUUAUGAUUAUGAAAUACUGAUUAUAGCAUUUCUAAUGCAGACCGGGACAAUUAACUCCACUUGCCAAACUUGUAUGCUCUAUUCUGACAAAUUUCUUCAGUCGUUUGUUCAUAAAAAUAUUUUGGGCCUUGGUCUUCGGUUGUAGCAGUCUAUUCCAACGAGCUAUGUUGUCAUGUUCCACGAGUAUAUCCAAUUUUUUUACAUCUACAACGUUUUUAUUUCCUCCAUGUUUUUAAUUAAUUGCAUGCCUGUUAAUAUGAAGCUACUCUCUUCUUGUGGCAUUCAAUGUAAUUUUUUGGUCUUACCAUUUCUUCAUUAAAUCUAAUAGCUGAGACGGUGUUAAAGUGAGAUGUAGCAUACUCAGUGAUUAAUCACCUCCUUGAAGACAUUAAUCCCUUGGAAGACCUGAACCUAAUAUUUUAUUAUUUUUGCAUUUCACUGAUGAUAACUUAGUAAUUUAGAUUGUACAAACAUACCUUUCUGUGUUGUGUUAAAUUAUAUGUUUUAAAUUAUCAUUAUGGCAUUUAUCGAAUUUCAAGGCAUUUGGUAUGAACUUUUAUGGAUUUCUCACGCCUGAACAUUUUAGCUUUUUCAUUCAUUACACGAAGGCUUACAUUUCUCCUGCAUGAUUACUUCCUGUUAAGAGCAUUAUUUCUUUCUUAUAACAUAGGGCAUGUAUUGAUUUCCGUUUUUUUCAUGAGAAGAAAUUCUGGGAUUGGAAAAUUUAAUUAUGGGAAUUAUACGAGUAACAAUUAUUAAUUGAUCUACAGUUUUUUGACAGUUAAUGACAGCCUUGAUAUAUUUUCUUCUGUCUUCUGCAGCCUAUCUCGAUCAGUAUGAUGAGAGCCCUGUUUCUAAUGAGUCAAGGAUUAAACCCUGUUGGUGAAGGUGAUGACACUGAAAAAAAACACAUGGUCUGCCGUAGCUGGUUGCUAUCUGCUCAGACAUUAGAUUUGGAAACUGAACUCCCAGUUUGGAUUUUGGAUCACCUUUUGCUGGGAACACCAGCUUCUCCACUUAGAAGGAUCUUACUUGAAAGCAGGCUGGGAGAUGCAAUUGUUGGUGGUGGAGUGAGAGAUGAAUUAAUUCAACCUCAGUUCAGUGUUGGGUUGAAAGGUGUAUCUGGGGAUGACGUUCAUAAGGUAGAGGAGCUGAUCAUGAGCACUCUGAAAAAUUUAGCAGAAGAAGGGUUUGAUUCUGAUGCUGUAGAGGCCUCCAUGAACACUAUUGAGUUUUACCUUAGGGAGAAUAAUACAGG
rnacentral:lncRNA from 1 species